rnacentral:misc_RNA from 1 species
GAUGAAGAACGUAGCGAAAUGCGAUAAGUAAUGUGAAUUGCAGAAUUCAGUGAAUCAUCGAAUCUUUGAACGCAUCUUGCGCUCCUUGGUAUUCUGAGGAGCAUGCCUGUUUGAGUGUCAUUAAAUUCUCAACUACACUGACUUUGAAUUGGUGUGGUUUGGAUUUGGGGGGAAAAUUGUUGUGGGCUUUUUGUAUAGUCUGCUCCCCUGAAAUUGAUUAGCGGUACCUUUGUGGAACUGUCUACAGGUGUGAUAAUUAUCUACAUCUUAGACAUCUGCUGGAAUGCUGCUUUCUAAACCUUACUUGUAUUGACAAUCUUGACCUCAAAUCAGGUAGGACUACCCGCUGAACUUAAGCAUAUCAAUAAGCGGAGGA